UAGGACAUCUUAAUAUCGUAGUUGUCGUUGUAUCGUUUGUUGUAUCUCACGUUAUCUCUUUCCUAGAUCGUAUCGAAUAAUGCUCCAAUAUGAUCUAUCAUAAUAAAUCAUUGCGCCAUGGAUAACUUAGCGAUUUACCUUCUCUCGAUUUAAUUAUUUUUAAUUGCAAUUCGAUUCUCCCUCCUUUGAAUUGCCAUUAGAUCGGAAUAUCGUUAGGACGGAUAAACGAACAAACAUGUUUUUAAAGUUCUAUUAUAUGUGCGAUAUAAAAAGCUCGUAUGUAACGUAACGCGAAAAAACAAAUGAAGAAGCAAUAAAUCAACACGUAGAAGGGGGUAUCCUUGGAUUUUCGGAGAAAGAAAUAAAAUAAAAUAAAAAAAAAAAAAAAAAAAAAAAAGAGAGAGAGAGAGAGAAAAGGAGAAAAAGAAAAAAAAAAUAGGCUGACUUGUACGUGACACAUUCUACAGAUGUGUUGUUGAUCCUAUACGUCUACGUAGAAUCGUUAUAUACGUAUAGAAUACGUACUUACGAGAGUUGCCUGAAAUAAAGCAAGGUCGGAUUUUAACCGAAUGGUUGGUUAUCCGGCAGGAGUAUCGGUCCUAAGAUUAAGAAAUUUAUUUUAUUUGACCUUACUUGUAUCAAGUCAAAGAACGUAAAUAAGGUCAAGUAGGUAUACGGAAUGAAAGUAAACAUUUUGAAUAUCGUACGUAAUAUACGUAAUAUGUUGACACGCGCUCGUUUAUAUGCAAAUAUAUUUUCUAUAUGAACAUAUAUAUAUAUAUAUAUAUAUAUAUAUAUAUAUAUAUAUAAAAGAAAUGUGCGUCUAUAUUAUUUUGAAAUUACGCUUUGCGUAAUUCCAAGCGUAUUUUAAGACCGUCCUUUUAUACGGCGAUGACUUUUCUCGUUCAAAAAAAAAACAAAAAGAAAAAAAA